CAAGACUUAAGACGCUGAUUGUACAAUGGAGUACGUCAUAUCCGCCAGUGAAAGGCAGCAAUGCGCCACAAGGCGCGUAGUCUGCCGGAACAGAAGAAGAAGAAGGAGGAAAAGGAGGGAAAAAUAAGAGAAGCAGCCAUUUGUAGAUGAGGUUUGUGUGAAACCGAGGCAGCGACGAUGCAUCUCUCCGUGAAGAACCGGCAGACUCCCCGGAGUCAAAUGGACGGCGGGUGGGACUCUGGACACGGAAAACACGGAGUUCCUGACCGACGUUCUGCCGGUGAAGCUGAUCGGGAUGAACUGUGACAUGAUGAAGCGGUACAUCGAGUUUGUGGCUGACAGGCUGCUGCUGGAGCUCGGCUUCUCAAAGGUCCUUGAACCUCUUUGACUUCAUGGAGAACACCUCCAGAGAGAAAGAGCUGCGAAGCCUGAAGGCUCACCUGUGAUGCUACUUCUGCCUGAUUGGACCGACACAACUGCCAUAUUCCUUUCAUUGAUACAGAGCACUUUGACCUUCUUUACAGUUUUUCUGCUCCAGAAGUUUAAGAACCUUUAGGUCCAUCCUACCUCAUUCAGUUUAGUUACAGUCUUUAUGUGGAAGAUUUCUUCAGUCCUCCUAAUCUUCUCAGAAGCAAGUUUUGUCAUCAUCUGUGUGAAGCAUUACGUAUCUGUGUUUGUGAAAGACUUUCUUUUGUGUAGAAAACAAGUCUGAACCUAACUGAAGGUCCCAGUUUUCUGAGUCGAGACCUUCUCCCCAAGAUCUCCUUGGGCUGUGCUGACCAUCGGGUGUAUUAAUGACUGACCCUGCUGAGAAGCUGUCUGGUCAGAUGUUGAUAUGAAUGAAUGAACUGAGCUCCGGCUCCAGAGUACCAGGGGUCAUCUAGCCUACUACCACAUGUAGUUCAUUCUUUUCAAACAACGCUUCCUUAGAAAACAUGCAAGCUACACGAUGAACCAAUCA